ensembl:lncRNA
GAGAGCUUUUGUUUUUUUCACAACUGCUAUGACCUGAUUACAGCACAGCACGAGCGAACAGGGGUGGCAUAAAGUAGCCAAACUAAGGUGGAUCCGGCGCUUUUAGUAGAGCGGUUUUCUUUCUGACAUCCCUCAGCAACAGCUCGAGGGCAGUCAAAGUGUAGCUGCACUUCCGAUGCCCAUAUUUGGCAAGCCUCAGCGAAGCGAACUCCCAGCGCAGGAGAGACACGCAGGAAAAUAAACAAUUCCACAUCACAAACUGCCAAGAGCCACAGACCCUGUGCGAUCACCAUGACAGCCUUGCUGGACCUGAAGAGCAGUGUGCUGAGACAGGUGCAGAGGAGCCAAUCACUGAGGAGCAGGAGGGAAACGCCAUCGACCCCCAGCAGUCCCCUCACACACUGCCCUGGCCCACUGCCCACCAGGGUCUCCGAGGAGAGCAUGGAGUUCUUUGAGCGCACAAGCAGCAUCCUCCAGAAGCAGGAAAGCAUGCUCUGGACAGCCCAGGCGGAGGUGGGUCUCUUCUUCGUCUUCGUCUUCUCCUUUGACCUUUUAUCUGCCUCUUCUUGCUAAAGAAACUGCCUUUUUUUGUCACUUUUUUUGAGCCCACCGUGGUAUACACCUCUGCCUUUGGCAGGCCCCGGGCUCUCUGCUAUACGCCGGUGCUUGCAUCAGU